UACGUAGGGGGCAAGCGUUGUCCGGAUUUAUUGGGCGUAAAGAGCGUGUAGGCGGCCAGGUAGGUCUGCUGUGAAAACUCGAGGCUUAACCUCGAGAUGUCGGCGGAAACCAUCUGGCUAGAGUCCGGAAGAGGAGAAUGGAAUUCCCGGUGUAGCGGUGAAAUGCGCAGAUAUCAGGAAGAACACCCGUGGCGAAGGCGGCUCUCUGGUACGUGACUGACGCUGAGACGCGAAAGCGUUGGGAGCGAACAGG
rnacentral:rRNA from 1 species